rnacentral:misc_RNA from 1 species
GAUUCCUCUCGCAGAAUUUUUAGGAUUUGGAUUUGCAUUAAAAAGUUGAAUUUUGUUUGUUUUUCUUAACGGAAAGGAAGGGAUUUUCAUAUUUAUUGUUCAUUGCUGAACGUUUUUGGCUAGAAUGAGUGACACUCGACGCAAACGCUAUACCGGAGCGCCGAAAACGCGGUCGGAGAACGGAGGCCAGUCACAUCGGCCGCAAAGUGGAUCGCAGACGCCUGGCCAUAGAGGAAGAAAUAACAAUGCACAUGGACCAAAUUAUCGUGAUGGCGGCUCUUCAAGGAUGAAUGCCUCUGACAGAGUAAAGAAGAUCGUACAGGAGGAGGGGAGGACUGCACGGAAUCUCGUACUUUAUCAUGUGCCAGUACAGAGUAAUCAGCAAGGCACAGAUCGAUCAAGGGCACGUCAGGCUCGUAAUAAACCGCAGCCAAAAGAAGCGAAUGAUCUUAAAUCAAGUCUCAAAUCGGAACUUACAAAGUCUCCUAAAUCUGAUGGUGGUAAGAAACCAGACUUGAGGGCAAGGUAUUGGAAGUUCCUGUUUGACAAUCUACAGAGGGCAGUUGAUGCCAUCUAUGAGACAUGUGAGCAGGACGAGAGUGCGCUUGAAUGUCGGGAAGUGAUUAUGAUGUUAGAACAAAGCACUAAAGAUUUCCAGUCCCUUAUAGAGCGGUUACAUGUACAGAAAGAAUUUGAGCAGGCAACCAAGGAAGGAGACAGGCCUGCAUCUAUUGCCUGGGAGGUACGCAAGAUGUCUCCAGGCAAGUCACCUAGUGGAAUGGGUCAUCGUACUUCUCCAAGCCCAGCUCAGAGAGCUCUCAAUUUUUCAUAUCCAGAACAAAACUUAGCCGUUAAAUCAAGUGUCCAAAAUACAGGGAAUAGUUGGGCAGACCGAGUUAAAGGUAUCACUAGCAGUCCUGGCACUGACAGUUCAAGGGAAGUAACUCCCAUGAAGGUAGAUCAUCCUGUGUUACCGGAACCACCAGUUCUUUCCCCUGUUCCAUCAUCUUUGACAGAAUCAGAUUCUUACAGGGAGAUAAAUGAAUCUGAAGAGGACGAUGGCUGGGAGACGGUUCAUCGGGGCGGGAAGACGAAAUCCUGGGGAUCCCCGUCACAAAGAUCUCUAGAAAAUCUACAUACAGUGAUCAAGAAUGAACAUCACAAACUCACAAGAUCUGUCUCAGAGCCAAGUGCAUCAAUGAAGAAAUACCAACGAAAAUCAAAUCAUUCCAAAAUAGGCAACCGUCAAAAUACCACUAAAAUGGGAACCAGUCCAUUUGAGGACAAGCUGGAAACAACACCACAGAGAGAUAAGGUGGAAACCAUUCCAAAUGGAGAUAUCUCAAAACCUCCUUUGAGGCCGAGAACCGAUAGCAAAGAUAGUGAAAAAGAGAACCGUCCAAAUUCAAACUUAGCAAAUGAGAUUAAAAGGACAGAAAAUGUUACAACUAAGAAAUCUCCAGGAUUACCUAGGAGGAGUUUUGAAAGUAGACUUAAGGGAACUAAAGAUCUGAAAGACUCUAAUAAUAAGAGCAGUGUAACUAAAACGAAAUCUCACAGUAGGAAACCGGCAGCAAAGGGACCAGAUGUGGCUAAAAGUGUGGGGAAAGGUACAAAACAAACAGCAGCAAAAGAAGAGGAAGUUGGAGCUAAAAGUGUAAAUGAUAGCCAAACUGACCUAAGUGUUGCCAGUAGUAGUGGACAAACUGAUACUAGUGAAGGUGCGGUUCAAGAUAUAUCUGAAGCAGAAAAGGAAAAAGAAUGUGAAAUCGAGAAAGUAGAAGGUGAAGACAGAAUAGAGCUGGAACAAGAUGAAGAUAACUCUGUGAAGCAGAUUGAUGAUGCGUUGGCUACAGCGGAGGAUGCAGAGAACAGUCUUACAGAUGAGUGGGAGAAAGAACAGAAUCAGGCACUGGAAACAGCUAUACAGGAGGAAGAAACUUGGCUUAAGGAACUUGCAAGAGAGGAAAACACAGAUAUUGAUGUUGAAACAGAGACAGAAAGUGACCUUGGGAAUACAAUGAGUUCAUUAGAAGCGUCUACACCAGGUGCUCUGGACUGGGAUUCUAUGGUUGCUGAAUAUGAUGCUGCAGAAAAGUCUGGGAUGAAGAAGAAUUGGGGUGAGAUGGUAGAUGAAGCAGACACACGGACACCUGGACAUGCUGUUCACAUGCAUGAGAAACUUUCCUCUCCUUCAAGGAAAAGGUCACCUACCGAGUCAAAGAAACGUCACGAGGAGAAACAAGCGAAGGCACAGGAAUUGCGAGACAAACUCAUGCAGGAGAAGUCGGAGAGACUGAGGAUUCUGGGACUGAAGGUAGAGGAAGUUCGAGCUUGGAAAGAAGAACUGAUGAGACAAAAGAAAGAGAUGAUAGAGAGAAAAAUGCAGCAAGCGGAAGAAAAAAGACAAAACAUGCUGAAAUCCAAAGCUCAGAAAGCUCAUGACGAGGAAGCCAAGGCAAAUGAGAUAGCUUUUAUCAACAGUUUGGAAGCUCAGAACAAGCGGCUGGAGAUGAUGUCAAAACAACAGGAGUCCGAGGCAAGGCUGCAGGAUAUUCAGGAUGAGAGACAACGUAAACAUGAGGAGAAACUUGCCAAGGAGGCGGCGGUAGAGGAGCGCAGGAAGACGCUGCAGGCAGAGAGGCUAGCGCGCUUACAGGAAAUCAAAGAAAGAAGGAAGAUUAAAGAUGCCAGGGUGGAGCAACAGAAAGCUGAUAGGGAAACUGAGAGACAGGAUGCCCUGAGAGCAAAAGAAAAGGACAGAGAGGAGAGACUUGCUGCCCUGAAUGCUCAACAUGAACAACAAAAACAGGAACUGCAGAAAAAAAUACAGCAGAAGCAAGUAGAGAGCUCCCAGCGACAUAUGGAGGCCUUGAAGCAGAUUCGAGAGAAAGCUUUCGAGAUGAGUAUUUUACGCCACUCGACUGAAGAUCACAAUGAUGCCCCGCAGCUUACACCAUAUGCCAUCGGCAAAAUGUGCACCAUUUGUAAUGCUUUGAUUCCAUCAGAAGUAUAUUUAUUGAGUCAUUUACGUGGAAAAACCCAUCAGCAAGCUCUCAAACACAAUAAUAAUGGAAUGUCCAUGACAAAACAGGAAAUUGAAACAUUUAAUUUGAAACAUAUUGUGAAUGCCCCAGAUAACAACAACCAUCCAAAGAUAGUGUCCGAGAAGGAACGAAUUAAAUCUCUGAAGAAACGAUGUAAGAAAUUGAAACAGAGGAUGCAUUCCAGAGGCCUUGAGUACGAGAACAGCUUGAUAGGAAAGCAGCCAGUGGUUGAGUCAGAGAAUAAAGCUAAAAUGCAGAAAGUUAUCAGGGAUAUCAACAAAUAUCUACAGUCAACAGAGAGUGGUCCUUGGUCUCAGAGUCGAGUAUCAGCACUAGACAGGGCUCUCGGAGAGCUGAAUAGAAUAUUUGACAAAAAAGUGUUUGCUGAUCAAGGAAGUUUCAGGCAUUUAGGAGGUUUAACCACACUUUGUCGUAUAAUACAACUGGUAGAUAUUGCAAACAUACAGUCACCACCACCUAUACCACAAAAAUCUCUGGUGUUGACAUGUCAGGUGUUGAAGCAAGCGUGUAAAGGGAACUAUGACAACUGUCACUAUAUGAUGUUCAGCAACAAGAUAAGUCUCGUCAUAGAGUUAACUAUCCAUCAACUUUCUCUGAUGUUGCCAGCAGAACAGCCCACUAAUAACAAUGCCUUCACAACAACACCAGAACCUCCUAAAAUACCACACAAUCUUCUGGGAAUAAACCUACUCCAGCUACUCACCAUUAUCCUCACCUGUCUCGCUAAAAAUAGCCCGUCAACAAAGUCAAGCGAGGCAUCUUUAGAGAGAAUGAGCAACACUGUUGAUACAUUUACUAGUCGAGGAAAUGAUAUCAUAAGCUAUAUAAUCAGUGUGGGUAUAGUGGACAAGUUGACACAGUAUUUGCGGCUGGUUCAGGGUUCAAUAGACGAUGACAAGGAAGCUGCUGAGUUUAUACAAAAUUGCCUAGGACUUCUUGUUGCUCUCACAAAAUUCCUGUCUGUACGAAAAUCCUCUAUAUUCGAGAAAAAGAAAUUAGAAGACCCAACACAGCUCAUAUCAACCUUUGAAGUGACGGAACUUGUUGGGAUAGUCUCUCUGUUGUACGGAAUGUUGCUGCAUUCAGGGACACCAAGUAGAGGUGACGUUGCCCCACCCGAGUUUCCGCAGCAUACCCUAGGUGUUGCCACCACCGGGCUCAGAAUGUUGAACCACAUGGCAACAUUAGACCUAGACAUGAUGCAGAGCACAUUGGGUCAAGAAGGGAUGUCGCUAGAGUUUCGUCAUAUUGCUAGCUACCUCAUCUGGUAUUGUUCACACCAUAAUGCAGAAGAGUUACUUCAUGAAGUAAUAUUGUGUGUAGGUUACUUCACUGUGCGCAAUACAGAUAAUCAGGUUGUGAUACAGUCAGGUCAGCCACCAACAGUUCUACAACAGAUGUGUUCCCUCCCAUUCCAGUAUUUCUCGGAUCCUCGACUCGUCAAUAUAUUAUUCCCAACCUUGAUCUCCUGUUGCUAUAACAACCAAGCCAACAGGGAAAUCCUUGAACAGGAACUGAGUUGUGUCCUGCUGUCAAAUUUUAUUGAGGAAAAGUCACUGGAGACACAAGCAACACAACCUCCAAUAGCUAAAAAGACAACAGAUAAAGAAAAACGUGAAUCAAAAGAAGCAGAUUUGAGGACAACCCUGGCAUACAGAUUUCCCCAAGAGCAGUGGACAGCAGCUCAAGAAUACUUCAAAAUCUGCUAGCCUGUUUGAAAGAAGCAUGCUUGUGUGCCAUUUCAUCAAAAGUAAUCUACAGUUGCAGGGGACUGCUUCAAAAACUACAACUAGUGGAGAAAAAAAAGUGUCCUUUUUGUAUUAAAUUUUUGUAUGUCAUGGCAUUGAAAGAGACAGGACCAACUGAAUUUUCAUAAAGUUCACAAUUUGCAUAUUUUCAGUAUGUAUACUUUUUCUGAUUGAGAAAGAAUAAGCAAUAUAACCUGUAUUUAAUGACACCUCUGUGAAACAGAAACCUCUAUAAAAUGGACACCUCUCCAAAGAUGCACCUAUUUUCUUCAUAAUUAGACAAUAUCUUAGCAAGUUUACCUCUGCUGAGCAGUAAAAACUUCACAUUUUUCUCCUUAGUGGUGUUGACUUUAUUAGAGGUUGCACAAUACCUUCAUACUAUUUUUUUUUGUUAGUACAAAGUGCUCAAGUUGAGCUAUUGUGGUUGCCUUGUGUCUAUCAUUAUUGUGUGUCAUCAACAGUUUAACUGCUGGUUGUUCCUAGGAGAUCAUGGCAUUGAGCCAAGCUGGCUUUAUGACACUACUGCUGGUCCUUCCCACAAGGUCAUAGCAUUGAACUUAAGUGGCUUCAUUACACUACUGCUGGUAGUUCUAAGGUCAUCGCAUCAAACCGAGCUGGCAUCCAGACACUCUUGCUUUUAUUCUAAUGAGUUCAUCUGAUUGAACCUGGCUGGCUUCAUUACACUACUGCUGGCUGCACCCACAAAGUUAUUACUGUGAGAGCAUAUAUUUUUGCUGGGUCAGAAUUUAGCAAAUUUGAACUAUUGAGUAUGUAUGCAAGGUUUUUUUAUAUUGCAAGAUUGUUAAAAAAAAAGGUCAUCAUGCUGAAACAUUUUUAAUAAGUCAGUGUACAUAGAAGUUACACAUUGUAAAGCAUUACCUUUAGACGGGUUUGUUUAACCGUUGAUAUUGUUGAUGUGUUGUGUUUGUUUUGUUGACGACAUAGUAUGAAGUUCUGGUUUGUCUUCCCGGGUGCCUGUGAUGAAAUAAUGCCUAGAAGGGCACCUGGGCUCUUCCUCCACCAUGAAUAUUUCAAAAGUCGCCAUGACCUAUAAUUAUAUCUCAGUGAUAUUAAACCCAGCAAAAAAAAAAAAAAAAAAAAAACUGACAGAGUGAAAAUGCAUGGGUUUUUUUUAAAUUCUGAUUUUAUUUUAUCAAAUAGUUAUUUCUGACAUAGUUAGAAAGGCAAUUAACUCACAGAAGUGUUAUCUGAACACAGGUGUUUUUCACCAUUUUUUUGCACCUGAAGGGAGGUCUAUAGUCAUCUUACUGCAUAGCCAUCUGUAUGUUAGGAAGCUGUCCCAUUUGAUUCACUUGAGUUAUACAUUUUAAAUUGUUUAAUAAAUUCCUAUGAUGCUUAAUACAAAUGUCAAGCAUAAUGAUGUGUGUUAGGUCUGUACCUCAAAGGUCAAGGUCAAGUUUUGAAGGCAUUUUUGUCACUGGGAUCUCACUUUGUCAAACAGCCCAGUUCCAGAGAGAUUCCUUUAUAUGGGGGAGGGACGUGGGGGUCUCAUUUACAGUAUUGUCUUUGCUGAUUUGUUACAUUUAAAAAGAACAAACAAAAUUUUUAUGUCAAUAUUUUGUCAUGUUUCUGGGUUGUUCACCAUAGAAUUAAGUCUCCGAUUUCAUUAUUUCAUCUAAUUUUACAUCUUUAAUAGACUGUGAUACUCUCAAAUUAUUAUUAUUUAUGUUAGUGUGAAAACUUACCAUUGUAUCAUUUUGCUUUCUAUGCCCUUCUCAUUUUUAGCUCCUCUGAUUUAAAAAAAAUGAUGAGUUAUUGUCAUCACUUGAUCAGCGUCGGCAUUGGUGUUGUCUGGUUAAGUUUUAUGUUUAGGUUAGCUUUUCUCCUAAAAUAUCAAAGCUAUUGCUUUGAAA